rnacentral:rRNA from 1 species
AGAGUUUGAUCCUGGCUCAGAAUGAACGUUGGCGGCGUGGAUUAGGCAUGCAAGUCGAGCGAGAAGCUUUUGAUUGAUCUUUCGAGUGAAGUCAGAGGUGGACAGCGGCGAAAGGGAGAGUAACGAGUAGAUACGUACCCAGGGGUUCGGGAUAGCGGGGGGAAACCGCCGGUAAUACCGAAUAAUGUCUCCGGACCAAAGAUUUAUUGCCCUUGGAGCGGUCUGCUUCCUAUUAGUUUGUUGGUGGGGUAAUGGCCUACCAAGGCUAUGAUGGGUAGCGGGUGUGAGAGCAUGGCCCGUCUCACUGGGACUGAGACACUGCCCAGACACCUACGGGUGGCUGCAGUCGAGAAUCUUCCGCAAUGGACGAAAGUCUGACGGAGCGACGCCGCGUGCGGGAUGAAGGCCUUCGGGUUGUAAACCGCUGUCAGAGGGGAGCAAAUUUUGAGCGAUCCUCACGGGAAGCACAGGCUAAGUUCGUGCCAGCAGCCGCGGUAAUACGAACUGUGCGAACGUUAUUCUGAAACACUGGGCUUAAAGGGCGCCGUAGGCGCGAUAUAGGUUCAGGGUUGAAUUCCCCGGGUUCACCGGGGAACGGUGCUUGAAACAUUAUUCUUGAGGGAGUCUCAAGGUAACGGAAACUGUUGGUUGACCGGUGAAAUGCCUUUAAAUUAUCACGAACAACCCGGGGCGAAAGCG